GAAACGACUGCUAAGACUGGAUAGGAGAUAGGAAGGCAUCUUCUUAUUUUUAAAAGACCUAGUAAUAGGUAUGCUUAAAGAGGAGCUUGCGUCACAUUAGUUAGUUGGUAGGGUAAAAGCCUACCAAGACUAUGAUGUGUAGCCGGGCUGAGAGGUCAAACGGCCACAUUGGGACUGAGACACGGCCCAAACUCCUACGGGAGGCAGCAGUAAGGAAUUUUCGGCAAUGGAGGAAACUCUGACCGAGCAACGCCGCGUGAACGAUGAAGUAUUUCGGUACGUAAAGUUCUUUUAUUAGGGAAGAAAAGAUGGUGGAAAAACCAUUAUGACGGUACCUAAUGAAUAAGCCCCGGCUAACUAUGUGCCAGCAGCCGCGGUAAUACAUAGGGGGCAAGCGUUAUCCGGAAUUAUUGGGCGUAAAGGGUGCGUAGGCGGUUAAAUAAGUUUAUGGUCUAAGUGCAAUGCUCAACGUUGUGAUGCUAUAAAAACUGUUUAGCUAGAGUUGGAUAGAGGCAAGUGGAAUUCCAUGUGUAGUGGUAAAAUGCGUAAAUAUAUGGAGGAACACCAGGAGCGAAGGCGGCUUGCUGGGUCUUAACUGACGCUGAGGCACGAAAGCGUGGGGAGCAAACAGGAUUAGAUACCCUGGUAGUCCACGCCCUAAACGAUGAGUACUAAACGUUGGGUAAAACCAGUGUUGAAGUUAACACAUUAAGUACUCCGCCUGAGUAGUACGUACGCAAGUAUGAAACUUAAAGGAAUUGACGGGACUCCGCACAAGCGGUGGAUCAUGUUGUUUAAUUCGAAGGUACCCGAAAAACCUCACCAGGUCUUGACAUGCUUUUGCAAAGCUGUAGAAAUACAGUGGAGGUUAUCAAUUGCACAGGUGGUGCAUGGUUGUCGUCAGCUCGUGUCGUGAGAUGUUGGGUUAAGUCCCGCAACGAGCGCAACCCUUGUUGUUAAUUGCCAGCAUGUAAUGAUGGGGACUUUAGCAAGACUGCCAGUGAUAAAUUGGAGGAAGGUGGGGACGACGUCAAAUCAUCAUGCCCCUUAUGACCUGGGCUACAAACGUGAUACAAUGGCUGUUACAAAGGGUAGCUAAAGCGCAAGCUUCUGGCGAAUCUCAAAAAAGCAGUCUCAGUUCGGAUUGAAGUCUGCAACUCGACUUCAUGAAGUUGGAA
rnacentral:rRNA from 1 species